CAGCCGCCGCGGUAAUACGAAGGGGGCUAGCGUUGCUCGGAAUGACUGGGCGUAAAGGGCGCGUAGGCGGCGGCCAAAGUCAGGCGUGAAAUUCCCGGGCUCAGCCUGGGGGCUGCGUUUGAUACUUGGUUGCUUGAGUGGGGAAGAGGGUCGUGGAAUCCCCAGUGUAGAGGUGAAAUUCGUAGAUAUUGGGAAGAACACCGGUGGCGAAGGCGGCGACCUGGUCUUUAACUGACGCUGAGGCGCGAAAGCGUGGGGAGCAAACAGGAUUAGAUACCCCUGUAGUCCCUGUCUCUUAUAC
rnacentral:rRNA from 1 species